UACGUAGGGGGGCAAGCGUUGUCCGGAUUUAUUGGGCGUAAAGAGCGUGUAGGCGGCCAGGUAGGUCAGCUGUGAAAACUCGAGGCUCAACCUCGAGACGCCGGUUGAAACCAUCUGGCUAGAGUCCGGAAGAGGAGAGUGGAAUUCCUGGUGUAGCGGUGAAAUGCGUAGAUAUCUGGAGGAACACCGGUGGCGAAGGCGGCAUCCUGGACCGGCAUUGACGCUGAGGCGCGAAAGCCAGGGGAGCAAACGGG
rnacentral:rRNA from 1 species